ACGUAGGGGGCAAGCGUUAUCCGGAUUUACUGGGCGUAAAGGGCGCGUAGGCGGUUUUUUAAGCCUGAGGUGAAAUGCAAUGGCUUAACCGUUGCAUGCCUUUCGAACUGGAUGACUUGAGUGCUGGAGAGGAAAGUGGAAUUCCCAGUGUAGCGGUGAAAUGCGUAGAUAUUAGGAGGAACACCGGUGGCGAAGGCGACUUGCUGGACUGUAACUGACGCUGAGGCGCGAAAGCGUGGGGAGCAAACAG
rnacentral:rRNA from 1 species